rnacentral:rRNA from 2 species
AUAAUGGGUCAGCGACUUAUAUUCUGUAGCAAGGUUAACCGAAUAGGGGAGCCGAAGGGAAACCGAGUCUUAACUGGGCGUUAAGUUGCAGGGUAUAGACCCGAAACCCGGUGAUCUAGCCAUGGGCAGGUUGAAGGUUGGGUAACACUAACUGGAGGACCGAACCGACUAAUGUUGAAAAAUUAGCGGAUGACUUGUGGCUGGGGGUGAAAGGCCAAUCAAACCGGGAGAUAGCUGGUUCUCCCCGAAAGCUAUUUAGGUAGCGCCUCGUGAAUUCAUCUCCGGGGGUAGAGCACUGUUUCGGCAAGGGGGUCAUCCCGACUUACCAACCCGAUGCAAACUGCGAAUACCGGAGAAUGUUAUCACGGGAGACACACGGCGGGUGCUAACGUCCGUCGUGAAGAGGGAAACAACCCAGACCGCCAGCUAAGGUCCCAAAGUCAUGGUUAAGUGGGAAACGAUGUGGGAAGGCCCAGACAGCCAGGAUGUUGGCUUAGAAGCAGCCAUCAUUUAAAGAAAGCGUAAUAGCUCACUGGUCGAGUCGGCCUGCGCGGAAGAUGUAACGGGGCUAAACCAUGCACCGAAGCUGCGGCAGCGACGCUGAUGCGUUGUUGGGUAGGGGAGCGUUCUGUAAGCCUGUGAAGGUGUGCUGUGAGGCAUGCUGGAGGUAUCAGAAGUGCGAAUGCUGACAUAAGUAACGAUAAAGCGGGUGAAAAGCCCGCUCGCCGGAAGACCAAGGGUUCCUGUCCAACGUUAAUCGGGGCAGGGUGAGUCGACCCCUAAGGCGAGGCCGAAAGGCGUAGUCGAUGGGAAACAGGUUAAUAUUCCUGUACUUGGUGUUACUGCGAAGGGGGGACGGAGAAGGCUAUGUUGGCCGGGCGACGGUUGUCCCGGUUUAAGCGUGUAGGCUGGUUUUCCAGGCAAAUCCGGAAAAUCAAGGCUGAGGCGUGAUGACGAGGCACUACGGUGCUGAAGCAACAAAUGCCCUGCUUCCAGGAAAAGCCUCUAAGCAUCAGGUAACAUCAAAUCGUACCCCAAACCGACACAGGUGGUCAGGUAGAGAAUACCAAGGCGCUUGAGAGAACUCGGGUGAAGGAACUAGGCAAAAUGGUGCCGUAACUUCGGGAGAAGG